AUUGGUUGUUAGUUCCUUAUACUGUACAGAAUUUGACAUGGACACAACAUGGGUUUAAUGAGAAAGUUGGGGAGAUUCAGGCGGCAGCGAAGGCGGCGUUUGGGCGGUUGAAAGGGCGAUGGACUUGUUUACAGAAAAGAACAGAGGUGAAACUGCAGGAGUUGCCGGUGGUGCUGGGAGCUUGCUGUGUUCUUCAUAAUAUAUGUGAAAUGAGGAAGGAGAAAUUCGAUCCGGAGCUGAAAUUUGAGGUUUAUGAUGAUGAAAUGAUGCCGGAAAACAACGGGUUGAGAUCGGUG
rnacentral:lncRNA from 1 species